rnacentral:rRNA from 1 species
UACCCUGAACGGUGGAUCACUUGGCUCGUGGGUCGAUGAAGAACGCAGCUAAUUGCGCGUCAACGUGUGAACUGCAGGACACAUGAACAUCGACAUUUCGAACGCAC